GACUUAUCCUCUUCUCUGCCUUUUCACCCAAAAAACAUUUCCCGUGCCGCCGCCACCACCACCGCCGUCUGAAAUGGCAUACCUACUCCAAAUCAAUACCCCAGGAGGAUUACUCGAUCUCAACGUACGCCUAUCUAAUCACAAAAACCAUCUGCCAGAGAAAUAUGCUUGGAAAUCAAUGAUAGCCAAAAUGAAAAUUGUUCAGUAAAUGGAGAUGAUAUUGAAGAAGAUCUGAGAAGACAAGCUCAGAUCGUUUGAAUGGACAUAUAACUGCAGUCGAAUUGAACUGAAAUCUGUGUUUACGAAGAAGAUCGUGUGAGAUGUGAAGCUGAAUCUGAUGUAUGGAGAUGAAUUUUAAAAUUAUCAAAUUUGAUUGGUAGUGUGAAGAUUCUCCACUUAAAAGAUUAGUGAUUUUUGGUUUGACAGUAUUGUUGUUAAAGGAGUUACUUGUAAGAAAAAUGUUUCCAGCCGGUGGAUGAUUUCUAAAAUUGAGAAGCCCCAUUUUCUUAUCCUCGGAGGAGCUCAUGUGUAUCAACUGGUUAUCAAGUUUAGAGAUCAUCUGGCAGCAGGAAACAUUUCAUUUGAAGCACAUGGGAGUGUUGGGCAGGGAGUAAGGAAAUAGGUGAAGACACUUAUGUUCUUUCAAGAGUGCCCCAAGUCAUUGGGUUGUACUGUCCCAGUUCCACUAUAUUGUGCACACGCAGGUUCCAUAACAUUGUCGCUUGGUUUCGAUAUGCGUUGAUUGACGUUCACUCAGUAGACCUUCCACCCUCAAAACUUGAUUUCAGCUACGGAAAUCCAGAAUGGGUAAAGAAAGAGGUCAAUCUGGUUCAGUGACUACAAACCGAGAUAGCGACGAAUAUACUUGAAAUUAAUCGAUUGAGAGUGCAGUUGCUCUUCCAUUCGUAUGUGUGGGACCAGCGACUGAUUCCUGCAGCAAAAUUAUAGAACAACAGACACCAGGAAGGGCUCAACAGCUCUAUACAAGAAUAUUUGGAGGAGUCUAUAAGUACUGCAGAUAAGCUUGUAUCAACAAACUCAACUUCCAGGCAAGGUGGUAAAGAUUCUCCCAGUUUUGACUCCGUACUUGCAGAUCAAGAUGUGAUAAAAAAUUGCAAGCUGGAAGGAAGUGGUGAGCAGGUGGAUUCAUUCCAAAUCAUAACACCCCAGGGCCACAUCUUUUAUCUAGCUUAAGUUUAAAUGCCCAGGCCGAUCCUUUGGAACCUGGAAUACAUGUGCGGAGGGCAAAUUGAGAAAGUCAGUUCCCGAUUGUACUGAACCUUGAUGCAGCAUGGAGUGGUGAAAACAUGCCAGGGAGUACGAUAUUGGAAAUUAAGGGUGAAGUGGCAGCAGAUUCAAUCAGUGCAAGAAGCCCAACUUGGCUGGCAAAAUUUUUGGGUGUCUAUCACGUAUCUUUUUCACUGUUUUUUAUACUAAGUCUAACAUCGAACGAGUAGCUCAAAUUCAACAGCAUUCACUAAAUUUUGAUUUGCUCAUUCUAGUAGAAUUCGCCAUU